GACGAACGCUGGCGGCGUGCCUAAUACAUGCAAGUUGAGCGCUGAAGGUUGGUACUUGUACCAACUGGAUGAGCAGCGCACGGGUGAGUAACGCGUGGGGAAUCUGCCUUUGAGCGGGGGACAACAUUUGGAAACGAAUGCUAAUACCGCAUAAAAACUUUAAACACAAUUUUUAAGUUUGAAAGAUGCAAUUGCAUCACUCAAAGAUGAUCCCGCGUUGUAUUAGCUAGUUGGUGAGGUAAAGGCUCACCAAGGCGAUGAUACAUAGCCGACCUGAGAGGGUGAGCGGCCACAUUGGGACGGAGACACGGCCCAAACGCCUACGGGAGGCAGCAGUAGGGAAUCUUCGGCAAUGGACGAAAGUCUGACCGAGCAACGCCGCGUGAGUGAAGAAGGUUGUCGGAUCGUAAAACUCGGUUGGUAGAGAAGAACGUGGGUGAGAGUGGAAAGCUCAUCAAGUGACGGUAACUACCCAGAAAGGGACGGCUAACUACGUG
rnacentral:rRNA from 1 species